AAAGGCGAGAUUCUCUUGAACCUUUCAUCCUUUCCUGACAUCGACUGAGACAAAAUUCACAAGAAAAUUAAUUCAGAUUAGGUCUUCUCUUUGGGCUAAAGGCGAGAUUCUUCACUGCAAGAAUCGCAUCCUCUACCGAGCUGAUGAAACCAUUAGCUUCUUCUUCUCUCUGUUUCUGCAAAUCAGACUCUUCCUCCAAGCUUCGCCUUUUGUUGUGUUUCUAUCCAAUUUUGACAUAUUUCGAUUGGGAAGAAUCAUUCCGAGCCAUGUCUCCGGCUAAAGUUUUCUAAUCAAUGGUAGUGGUGGUGGUGUGUGUUUGAGAUCAUCAUGGAUCUGCAAGAACGCAUCUUGUAGAGCUAAUGUGAAUAAAGAUGAUUCCUUUUGCAAGAGAUGUUCUUGUUGUGUUUGUCAUAAUUUCGAUGAAAACUAAGACCCUAGUCUUUGGUUAGUUUGUGAGCCUGAGAAAUCAGAUGAUGUUGAGUUAUGUGGCUUAUCUUGUCACUUGGAAUGUGCUUUUAGAGAAAACAAAGUUGGUGUUACGAGUCUUGGUAAUUUCAUGAAGCUUGAUGGAUGUUUUUGUUGUUACUCUUGUGCAAAGUUUCUCAAAUUCUUGGGUGUUGGAAAAAGCAGCUUGUGGCAGCAAAAGAAGCAAGGCGGCGAGAUGUAUUGUGUUAUAGGAUUGAUUUGAGUUAUAGACUACUCAAUGGGACUGUUAGGUUUUGUGAAUUACAUGAGAUUGUAAGAGCUGCUAAGUCUAUGCUUGAAGAUGAAGUUGUAUAUUAUUUCAUGUAAUAAUGAUAAUAAAAUAUUGUA